rnacentral:rRNA from 1 species
CUUAGCGGCGGACGGGUGAGUAACGCGUGGGAACGUACCCAUUCCUGCGGAAUAGGCUCUGGAAACGGGGUUUAAUACCGCAUACGCCCUUCGGGGGAAAGAAUUUCGGGGAUGGAUCGGCCCGCGUUGGAUUAGGUAGUUGGUGGGGUAAAAGCCUACCAAGCCGACGAUCCAUAGCUGGUUUUAGAGGAUGAUCAGCCACACUGGGACUGAGACACGGCCCAGACUCCUACGGGAGGCAGCAGUGGGGAAUCUUAGACAAUGGGGGCAACCCUGAUCUACCAUGCCGCGUGAGUGAUGAAGGUCUUAGGAUCGUUAAA